rnacentral:rRNA from 1 species
GACGAACGCUGGCGGCGUGCUUAACACAUGCAAGUCGAACGGAAAGGCCCUGCUUGCAGGGUGCUCGAGUGGCGAACGGGUGAGUAACACGUGGGUGAUCUGCCCCUUUUUUUGGGAUAAGCCUGGGAAACUGGGUCUAUUACUGGAUAGGACCAUGCUGUAUGUGGUGUGGUGGAAGGAUUAGUUUCGGUAAGGGAUGAGCUCGCGGCCUAUCAGCUUGUUGGUGGGGUGAUGGCCUACCAAGGCGUCGACGGGUAGCCGGCCUGAGAGGGUGGACGGCCACAUUGGGACUGCGAUACGGCGCAGAAUACUACGGGAGGCAGCAGUGGGGAAUAUUGCACCAUGGGGGGAAGCCUGAUGAAGCGACGCCGCGUGGGGGAUGACGGCCUUCGGGUUGUAAAAUCCCGCCAGCCAUGACGAAGCCCCUGUGGUGACGGUAGUGGUAGAAGAAGCACCGGCUAACUACGUG